ACCUAUCCAGCAUCUUAAUUCAAAAAAAAAGGGAGAUGACAACUGAAUUAUCAAACUUAAUUCCCAGCAAAAAUUCAGCCAGAGCCACAAGCCAAACAGCAGACAAUAUUACAGAUAAACAAUUAUCUUUGGAUAACGUCUCCAAAAAGAGAAGUUCCUCGAGACCAUUAUCAGUUUUACUGGUGGUAUUGGCUGGUAUUGGGUCAGCAAUUGGCAUUAUCUUCCUCGGUCUCAUAUUAAGGAUUCAACAGCGAGCUG